CCCAGGUGCAGCGCAAGGGCAUGGAGGCGGAGGGGUUUGGCAUAGAGGGGAUCUCGACGGGCGGGCACGAGACCUGCGUCACUGCGCCGUCCCCAUUCUGUGGCAGUGGUUGAUUCAGCAACGAUAUGAUCCACAAAUUGUCAAGCACACAUGGUAUAGCCAUCAAGUUCUGGGAUAUUAGCUGGCUUUAAGUUUUCAAGUGCAGGCAGUCUUUUAACAAGGGAUGUAUGUCAGUAGUGAUAUGCCGAAUACCAUGGAUAUAUGUUCACUGCAGAUAAGUUCUUUUCCUGAAACUUACAAGCACAAACUUACUUACUCAACUCAAAUCUUCGCACGGUUAUAAAUACAAUACUUUACUAUAAGCAAUAAUGCUUGAUUUUUUAUCAGUUUUCAACACUAUCCGAUUCUUCGAACCAUUCUCUAAAAAUAAAAAUGAACUCCUUGAGUGCUUUCUUACCAGUGCCUCUGGCCAAGCUUGUUUUUUUCCUAACCUUAUUAUAAUCCAGUAUUUCAUAUGCCAUCUAAUGAUCCAAGGUCUUUAUAGGAAAAACAAUGGCACUUUUAAUGCAAGUUCACUGGACGACUACCAUAUCUUACUAUACUUUUGAUUGCUUGGAUGAAGUUGGAUGGGAGAUCCCCAUCCAGUUUUUAAAAGCCAUGAUUUUGUUUCGUUGGUUGGGUGAACAAGAUAGUAUACCAUUAA